rnacentral:rRNA from 1 species
CCUACGGGUGGCAGCAGUGGGGAAUAUUGCACAAUGGGCGCAAGCCUGAUGCAGCGACGCCGCGUGAGGGAUGGAGGCCUUCGGGUUGUGAACCUCUUUCGCCAGUGAAGCAGGCCUGCUCCUUGUGGGUGGGUUGACGGUAGCUGGAUAAGAAGCGCCGGCUAACUACGUGCCAGCAGCCGCGGUAAUACGUAGGGCGCGAGCGUUGUCCGGAAUUAUUGGGCGUAAAGAGCUCGUAGGCGGCUGGUCGCGUCUGUCGUGAAAUCCUCUGGCUUAACUGGGGGCUUGCGGUGGGUACGGGCCGGCUUGAGUGCGGUAGGGGAGACUGGAACUCCUGGUGUAGCGGUGGAAUGCGCAGAUAUCAGGAAGAACACCGGUGGCGAAGGCGGGUCUCUGGGCCGUUACUGACGCUGAGGAGCGAAAGCGUGGGGAGCGAACAGGAUUAGAUACCCGAGUAGUC